rnacentral:rRNA from 1 species
GACGAACGCUGGCGGCGUGCUUAACACAUGCAAGUCGAACGGAAAUGCCCUGCUUUUGUGGGGUGCUCGAGUGGCGAACGGGUGAGUAACAAGUGAGUAACCUGCCCUUUACUUUGGGAUAACUUCAGGAAACUGGGGCUAAUACCGGAUAGGAGCUCCUGCUGCAUGGUGGGGGUUGGAAAGUUUCGGCGGUUGGGGAUGUACUCGCGGCUUAUCAGCUUGUUGGUGGGGUGGUGGCUUACCAAGGCUUUGACGGGUAGCCGGCCUGAGAGGGUGACCGGCCACAUUGGGACUGAGAUACGGCCCAGACUCCUACGGGAGGCAGCAGUGGGGAAUAUUGCAAAAUGGGCGGAAGCCUGAUGCAGCAACGCCGCGUGCGGGAUGACGGCCUUCGGGUUGUAAACCGCUUUCGCCUGUGACGAAGCGUGAGUGACGGUAAUGGGUAAAGAAGCACCGGCUAACUACGUG